rnacentral:lncRNA from 1 species
AUUCAACUCUAUUUAGAAUUCAAAUUUAUUCAAAUUUCAUAUUAAAAAACAAAUGUUACCUGACUCUACUGUAUGGGUCAGGCCAGUAACAUUCCUUCGGUGGUAAUCCAUCGAAGGUUUCUUUAGAUUUAUUUUAUCUAAAAUUUCUAAAUCCCCAAGUCCAUAGUCUUUGGAUGGCGAUGUCCUUUUCAUUAAUUACGUGGUACGCCGGACGCCUUACACGUACAUAAAAAGAAAAACAGAGUAAAAAAUUUAAUUUUUAAAUAACGAAGAGGCUGCGUGACAAGACCAACCCCAUUCGAAUACGUUCUCUGUUCCUAAAGAUUGUUUGAUGCCAUCACCCAAAGCACUUAAUUCUAGGGAUCUCAAUGGAAACAGAAAAGAAAUUGACAAACAAAUCAACAGCAUCACGCCACAUGUAGCUGUUAUAAUUCUAAUUUUAGUUAUUGGAGCGGUUUGAAGGCGGUUAGAAAAAAUCAGGUAACAUUUGUUUUCUUUGUUUGAAAUUUGAAUGAAUUUUAAUUUAAAGAAGCUUAAAUAGAUUUGAAUGUAUAUAUUUGAAUGGAAUCUUCGUUUUUCUUUUUUCAAUAUCUGAAUAUA